rnacentral:rRNA from 1 species
GAUGAACGCUGGCGGCGUGCCUAAUACAUGCAAGUCGAGCGAACGGACGAGAAGCUUGCUUCUCUGAUGUUAGCGGCGGACGGGUGAGUAACACGUGGAUAACCUACCUAUAAGACUGGGAUAACUUCGGGAAACCGGAGCUAAUACCGGAUAAUAUUUUGAACCGCAUGGUUCAAAAGUGAAAGACGGUCUUGCUGUCACUUAUAGAUGGAUCCGCGCUGCAUUAGCUAGUUGGUAAGGUAACGGCUUACCAAGGCAACGAUGCAUAGCCGACCUGAGAGGGUGAUCGGCCAAACUGGAACUGAGACACGGUCCAGACGCCUACGGGAGGCAGCAGUAGGGAAUCUUCCGCAAUGGGCGAAAGCCUGACGGAGCAACGCCGCGUGAGUGAUGAAGGUCUUCGGAUCGUAAAACUCUGUUAUUAGGGAAGAACAUAUGUGUAAGUAACUGUGCACAUCUUGACGGUACCUAAUCAGAAAGCCACGGCUAACUACGUG